UAUCAAGUAUUGUGAAAAUGACAAAAUAGGUUCAUAACAUUGAUCCUUAUACUAUCUAUAAACACAAAGGAAAAAAAGUGUGGUGUAUAUAUACUGUGUGUGUGUGUGUGUGUGUGUGUGUGUGUGUGUGUGUGUGUGUGUGUGUGUGUGUGUGUUUGUAAGCCCUGUCAAUUGAACCAGUGAAUAAGAAGGCACACGUGUAAAUCAACACGGGGUCGGUCAAAGGAACACGAAAAUGGUGGUGUUCAGUUGGAUUUUUAUAAAAAUCAGCAUAAAAUCAUUAAAUAGUUCAUCUACCAUCAAAAUCCUGAAGUGUUUACUUAACAGGAUUUAUGAGAUGUGUGUAACAGGUGUGUAAAGAUUUAGCACUCGUCCAUCUUUUUUCCUUGCGAGCAUGGCUUACACACUUUCGAAGUGCGCAUGCUCUGUUUUGAAUGACGUAAUUUGUGAUGUCAUCAUAAUGGAGUUUUCCAGGGAAAGAAGUUGGCCCAUCUGAGGUAAGUAAACACGGUUGAAAGAAAAUUUUUGCAUAUUAACAAUGAGUUUUUUAUUAGAUAGACUGAUUAAAUGGUGUUUCAUACCGAUCGUGUUAAUUAUGUACAAGCGACAGAGUACCCGAGUUACUGAAAAUUCCGAUGAUGAAAGUGAUAUAUCUAGUACGUGAACUGUUUGGGUUUUUUUCUAAAAUUUAAUCUUUGCAGUUAAUGUACUCUGUAUACUAAAAAUUCAUAUUGAUUUUGGAUAGAAUUUCACAUUUAAAAACAAAUAGAUAUGCGCCAAGUCCUUAGGAAUCAACCCCACCCCCACCCCUCCACACGGGACUUUUUUUUGGAUUAUUGGACCGUAUCCCCCUUUUCAUCUGUCUCCCUACUUUGAAGUUUUUUUCCCAACGCCAUGACAUAAAUAGAUAAAUAAAUAAAAUGCAAAAAUAAAAACGAAAGAUAUAUAUGUAUUCGGAUUGGCAUGUUCCACUUUGUCCGGUUUGAAAUCCCCGAGGAUGCAAAUGUACAUUACGCCGCACUGCUUGCAGUACGUACAUGGUACAGGUGUACCGCAUAGGUAUGUAUCUACUAAGACUAUAAACCAAACAGAAUAUCAUAUGUAAAACUAUUACUCUGAAUGCAUUUUACUUGUUUACAAUGUAGCCUGUCGGGGUGUGGUGCAUGUCACACGCGUUGUUUACACGUGCACUUUAGGUGGCAGUGGAGGAAAUUCGAACCAUGUAUGGAUUAUUGUCUCCUGAUAACUUUGGCAGUUAACUUUUGAUUUCAAUCUACUUUUUAAGAAUAAUAUAACCCUCGCUAAUCAUUGCCAACCUGCAUUUCGAUCUUGGCAGAAUGAUCUUCAGCUACAAUUCAAAAUUAAGGGGUGAUGUUGUGUACUGAGUUUUUCUUGAUUGUUUACAUCUGUGACUGUUUAUGUGAUGUAUCAACUGAUCAAGCUGUACAGUGUCAUGACAUAUAGUGGCAUAGCUUCCAUUUAUGUACUUGCGCAUCAUUUUGUCAAAAGAAGAAAAUUCUAAAAUGAUAAUUAAGAUUUUUAACAUGUAUAUGAAUAUACAUGUAUGUGUAUGUUUGAUUUUAGUAUAAUACCUGUAGAGAAUAUUUCAGUAGUAUGAAGUGCCACACAUUUAGACGCAUGCAUGUGGUGUUUAAAGGUCUCAUCUGAAAGACCAGCAACUUUCUCUUUUGAAUGCUAAAUAUGAUGAUGGAGCAUUCACCUCACUACCUACAUUUUCACCCUAAAUAAAGUACAAGCAUGGCUCGAAACCAUGAUUUCUUGAUCCUGUUACCAGUCUUCACGAAAAACUUUGUAAAGUACAGGCCCUUCGGGCCUGCCAGUAUAAUAAUUGUGCAAGCCCGAACAAUAUUUUGCAGGCCCAAAAUGUUUAUUUUCUAAUUUGAUCUCUUGUUAUUUGCUGAUUCUACUCUAUAGACACAUGCACAGUUCUUUUACUGUAGGAAAAUACAGGUCAAGAUGAUCAUAGUUAAAGAACAACUGACAUUAAAAGGAUUAUAUUAUUUUUCAACAUAUUAAUCCAGUAUAUGCGAAAGUUUUUGGACCACACAGGACAUUCGGUCCAGUGUAAUCAAUGAACACAUCGGACCGAACCAAAUUUUGUCAGACCGAAAAACCUAAUGUAAAAAAGUGAAACACGUGAAAAUGCAAAACCAAGUGAAUCUUAUUUAUUAUACUAGUAAUACUAUUCCAGGAAUCCUUCCCGUAUAAUACUUUAGACAGUCCAUGCGGUUUUAAUCAAUUCAUUUACGUAUUUGGAUGUGUGCUAUUUUUUUUUACUUAUAACAAACUCCGCAUCAAGAUAGUAAAGCUCAAAACCGGACAUUGAGACAUCUGACAUUCCGGUCCGGUGUAAAAAAUGAUGCAUCGGACCUGAGGCACUGCAUAUCGGUCAGGUCCGACGGUCCGAUGUCUUUCGCAUAGACUGAUUAAUCUCGCAGAUACAUCAGCAGCUCAUGUUCAACUCUGUUUUGUAUACACCACGUACAAAACAUUUUUUAAAUGUUAGCCAAGGCCUACCCUCGCAGUGUUCGAAAUUGGUUUAAAACUUGGUAUAGACCACAGGUCUAUGCCAAAAUAAGAUGACUUAGACCUCAUCGAAUUGGCAUAGACCACAACAUUGAAAAAAUAAUAACACAAAUUUAAAACAUUUUCAUUUACUUCUAAUAUACUUAGAAAGUGUAUUUUCUUUCCAUUUCUGUAAUAUCAUCCUUUCCUCAUAAUGUUUAUCAGACGUCGACUGACCAUGCAAGGCCCUCUUGGAUAACUUUAUUGCUUUAAAUCUAGAAAAUUGGCAUAGACAAUUUGGUCUAUCUCAAUUACAGUUGGCAUAGACCAGUGCCAUUUGACAUAUACUCAGUCUAUGGUUAAUUUUGAACACUGCCCUCGGUCCAAUGGGGCAUGAAUUUUCGUUUUUUUCUCCUCGUACGACAGUUUUUUGGGGGUUUUUUUAUCGGAUGGUUGUGAUUGUGAAAUACGCUUGGGUGGUUUUGAAUUUCCCGGACGAGCCCCCUCCCUAUACUUCAGAAAAGGCAGCAUGGUUGAUAAUUUUUCUAUGCGAAAUUUGACUACUAAGUCAUGACAUUUAGUCUGAGUCAAUAUCACGCUUUAUUUGUAAUAUAUACAGAACAUAUAAGAAAACAUUUACAGGCCCAUCGGACUCCAGGGUUUAAUAUUUUAAGAAGCCCGAUCCCGAUUUUACUGGCCUCGGGCAUCAGGCCAUUGGUUAAUGUCGAAGACUGUGUUACCACUGAGCUACCAUGACCAAUUUUUAUACGCCCGUCUUAAGACGGGACGUAUUAUGGUAUGGCGUGUCUGUCCGUCCGUCUGUUAGCUUUUUCGUGUCCGACCCGUAACUUAAAUACUACAAGGCCUAGAAUCAUCAAACUUUGUCUGUAGAUACAUCUUGGGUAGAAGGUGUGUCGCACAUUAAAACCAGGUCACUGUGACUUUUCAUUAAGAAGAUAUGGCCAUAUAUGGCAAAAACUUGUCCGUCUGUUAGCUUUUUCGUGUCCGACUCGUAACUUAAAUACCACAAGGCCUAGAAUCAUCAAACUUUGUCUGUAGAUACAUCUUGGGUAGAAGGUGUGUCGCACAUUAAAACCAGGUCACUGUGACUUUUCAUUAAGAAGAUAUGGCCAUAUAUGGCAAAAACUUGUCCGGCUCAUAACUUGAAAACUAUUAGACCUAGAAUCACCAAAAUUGGUCAACUAAUGCAUCUUAGGUAGAAGGUGUGUCACAUGCUACUUUAAGGUCACUGUGACAUUUAAUUAAGGUGAUAUAAAAAAAAAAUGUUUUAAUGGGUACUAUCUAUACUGUUAACAAUAUGUGACAGGCGUAUCAUGUGCCAUGGCGGUGCACUUUAUUUAACAUGAAUUCAUAGCUAAAAAAAAAUUAUUACUAAUUUUUUGGUUAAUUCCAUAGAUAUAUUAUUCCGCUCUCUAGACACAAUUCUGGGUUACCCCCCUGUCAUUGGGGGUAUAAGCACCUCAUUUCUUUCAGAAUGGCACAAUGUCAGGAGAGCUUUUGUUAUUUGUUAUACUCUUAAUGUUGAUGGCAUGCAUCUAUGAACAACAGGAUAAUUUUUUAGAUUAUUAUUUCUGAUAUCAUAUUUGUAAAUUGUUUAUGAGGGGUUGUUAAAAGUUUGUGGACAAAAGGACGCACUUAUUAAAAAUUCAGAGUUAUCGUAAGUGAAAAAUAUAGGAGAUGUGUAACAAGAUUGUAUAUUUGAAGAUUUUAAUUUUAAUUAAUUUUUAUAAGUAUUGAUUUCAGAUACAUGUAUGACAUUGCAUGCUUGGUGGGGUGGGGGGUGGGGGGGGGGCUAGAGUUAGAUAAUAUUCUGGUCAGCACAUUCGAUAAACUACAUGGAAUUCAUUAAAUCACUUCUUUUUCUUUCAGUGGUCUUCAACUUUUAAUCUCCAAGAAGGAAAUGUAAUUAAAAGAUGAAUAAAGUAUCCCUAAGAAUACCAGAAGAAAGGCUAUGUGUUGAGAAAAACAGCCCUUCCUCAGUACCUCAGAACUAGAUGAUAGCCCUUAAUUGUUACUUUAUGCUGAAUAUGACACAGUAUAGAAGAUCUGAUCAUGAAGAAGUAACACCAUUGAUACACUUGCCAACUGCCAAAAUUACUUUCUGAUAGUAUGACGAGAUUAGAAGAUAUGGUGUAGUCAUGACACAAACUGCAAAUCAAAGAAUUAAUUGUCUUCCCCAGAGGAUGAACAGAGCACGAUGGCUUCACAUGGAUAACAUUUCCUUUCGAGUUUUGAAAUUAAUUUGUCAGAAUGUUAUGCAUCGUUAUCAACAGAAAAGAACUUCAUAGGUAGACCAAAGCUGACAUGGGAUGAGAUCCUAGAACAAGACCUAGAGUUUACAGGAUUGGAUAGGAUCAAUCCACUGGGUCGCCAAGUGUGGAAGUACAAACUUCAACCUCGACAGGACAGCCAGGCCUCACCCUUGCAAAAAGAUUAAUUUGGCCUGGAUAGUCAAAAUGAGUGAUGAUGAUUGAUAUCAAGGUCUGACACUGGAAGCUCAGUAAGGGUAGAUGCUGGCAAUGGAGCUGUUUAGCAAUAAAACAAACAAGUUUAACAUUAAACAUGUUUGUAUACUUUUUUGGCUCACCUGAGCCAAAGGCUCAAGUGAGCUUUUCUGAUCACCUUUGCCUGUCGUCUGUCUGUUUAUAAACUUUUCACAUUUUCAUUUUCUUCUCCAGAGUGAACCACUGGGCCAGUUUCAAUCAAACUUGAUAUGCAUCAUCAAUAGAUAAAGGGUAUUCAAGUUUGUUCAUAUAAAGGGUCAUGCACCCUUCAAAAAGGAAAUAAUCAUGGAAAUGCAAAAAUAGGGUGGGGUCAUUUAAAAAACCUUUUCAAGAACCACUGGACCAGGAAAGUUGAAUUCACACGAAAGGUUCCUGUUUUGUGCAAAUCAUGGUCUCUGGGGUUAGGGUGGGGUCACAAUAGAGAAUCAAAGUUUUACAUUCAUAUAUAGUGCAUAUUCAAGUUUGUAAAAAGCUCACAGGGGUAGGGUGGGGGUCACAAUAGGGGAUUUAAGUUUUACAUGUGAAAUAUAUACAAGGAAAAUCUUUUAAAAUCUUCUCCUCAAAAACUAGAUGCAGAACCGUAGCUCUUUGAAAAGAGAGCUUCAGAUGAACCCCUUAUAAAAAAAAACUUCAAUUUAUGGCAGAGAAAAAAAGUGCAUGUUUAAGUCCCUCUAUCACUGCAUUCCUGCAUCGCUGUCUCAUGAAUUUAAUAUUAAAUAAUUCCCAACAUAUUUUCCCACUAUACUUGUUUCCAAACAUACUUUCAAAUAUUUUCUAAACCCACAUAUAACCCCAAAACAGCUUCAAGUGAUUUCAAUUUCUUUGUUGAUGUAGCCAUGUUAAGUAGCCAGUCAAUUUGAACCCCAGUUCAUUUCCAUACUCAUACUCAUUUUGAAACAUAAUGUCUGUGUGAACUAAUAUCCUCACAAAUAUUUUUAGUGAAAUAUUUUGGAUGAAAUCAUCCCAGUUGGGUUAAAUACUUAUUAUUCAAAUACUGUAGGUUUGAAUAUUGAACUAAUCUCACAGCUUUCUUAAGUUUGGUCCCCAUCCCCACCAGUCUGUUUUUACGCUUAACUAUUGAAAUGGGGUGUAAGGGAUCAGACUAGGCUUUUAUAGCAUUAUCAAUUUUCAAAAGCUUUAGAAAAAUUAUACAAUUUUAGGUCACUUGAGUAAACUCAGAUGACAUAUUGCUAUUGAUCUGCAUCUGUUGUAGUCCGUCGACAUUAACAAUUGAACAUUUUUAACUAAAUUCUAUAACUGAAAGAUGAAGAUACCGCACAGCGAUCAAUCUACGAUUCAAAUAACGGAAUUCUUUUCAAAUUUAGUAUGAAGCACACAAAUUUACAUUAAACCUUCUUGACAUAGUGCAUAUUCAAGUUUGUUAAAAUCAUUUCCCCAGGAGUUAUGGUGUGGUAACAAUAGGGGGUCAAAGUUUUAUAUGCUAGCUGAUAUAAAGGAAAAUUCUUUAAAGAUAUCUCUUGAACUAUUUAAGCUAGGGCUUUCAUAUCUUGUAUAUACAAUUUUUAUGGCAAAACAAAUCUGACCUAUUCAGUAUGUCCUGAACUACAUUGUGUUUAAGGUAGAUCUUUCAUAUAUAUUAUAUAUUAUGAAUUUCUUAUGAUAAAACCUUUCAUCUUGUUGAGGAGCCUCUCACCUCUGGUUGGUGCGGGUUUGAAUCCUGCUCGCACCGGUAAUUGAGAAAGUUUCCCAGUUUACUCUCGGAAGGUCGGUGGUCUCUUCCCAGGUACAUUGUAUCUGGGUUCUCUCUUCCACCAAUAAAAACUGGGCACCACCAGAUAACUGAAAAAAUUGUUGAGUGCGGCGGAAAACAGUUAAAACAAUCAAUCAUAUUAUGUUAUUUGACCUUGUGACCCUGAACUCUGAGUUUGACAUACUUUUAAGAAAGUAUAACGUAUUAAGUAUAUCCAGGACUAUUUUAGAUAGGGCUUUUAUGUUUUGUAUAUUGAUUACUUAUGGCAAGGUCUUUCAUAUCAUACCAAGACCUACGACUUUUUACCUUGGUCUUAUCCAGAACAGCAAUAUCAUGCUAGUCAUAUCUUUGUCUUAUAUGAUUUCAUUUUAGUAAUGUUGUGUUCUUUAGAGCUAGGUUUGGGUCACAUUAUUCAUGAGAAUAAAGAUUGAUAAAAUAGCAUUUAAAAAUCAAAACAGCAGGGCCAAGAUGACUCAGGUGAGCGAUGUGGCCCAUGGGCCUCUUGUUGAUUUUGAUAUUUCUACCUAUAUCAUUUGUAUGAGAAAUGGAACUCCUUUUUUUCUUUUACAAAUACAUGUAUUAUCAUAUAUUGGAUCCAUCUUUGUUGAUUAUUUAAUCAAAGGACAUAUUCAAUGUAUUAAAUGUAAAUUUAUGGAUAUGUCUGUGGUUGAAUUACUUAUGUAUGUAUGUAUACAUUUUUCUCGCACAUGCAAUUACAUAUAUGAUGUAUAUAUAUUUACUAAUUGUACAUGUAAUAUCCCCUGUUAUAUAAUAAAAUAUAUGACUGAGAAUAGAAGACCUGCUGUUUUCAUUGCUACCAUGAAACAUUAAAAGAUUAGAAUAAUUCAAAUAUCUUAAUGAAUUCUAUGAUAUAUGAAUUUGAUAUUUGUAUAUGAUUGCCUCACUGGUGUUCAAUGUGAACUUUGGUUUAUUGUUUCAGUUUGCUCGAUCUUUAUAUCAAAUCAAAAUUUAAGACAAAUAAGGAAUUAUUUCCGAAAUUGGUUAAUAUGGUACAUUGUAGUAAAAUAAUCAAGAGUUUAUUCAUAUGAGAUAGCUAAAUUUCACAUGAAUAACCAGUGACUGAUUCUUGAUUGUCAACAUUUUCACCGAACAGUUCAGAAAUUACCAUGGUACAUGUACAUACUAUUAGGGGAUCAUAAAAUUCCUUAAAGAGUGACAAAUUUUUAAAUAUCACCUUUUCAAGGAGAAAAAUCCUCUUAGGUAUAUGAAUACUAUGAAGAGAUUAAAAGAGAGGUGGCUAGAUCACUUGUAUGGUGAGAUUCAUUUGUGGCAAGAACUGGUAUGAUGUCUUGAGUCAGAAAGCACUGGAAUCCACUAGGAAUAGUUUUAGAUCUAUGGAGCGCCAAAAUAACAAACUCAGAUAUUUGAAGAUAUCUUUAAUUAUUUGAAGAUAUUAUUAAUUCAUUUCAUGCACGCAACAUUGCAAUCAAAGAUCUCUUCAAAUAAUUAAUGCUAUCUUCAUUUGAAUUGAAUUAUUGAUAUCAUUAUUUAUUCCGCUGAAUUGAUGCACACAAUAAUUUAAUUGUUGCUCUCCUCAAAUGAAUUAUAAUUUAAUGAUACCAACAAUAGAAUUAAUGCAUGCUACAAUUCAAUUGAAGAGAGCAAUAAUUCAUUAAUGCUAACAUCACUUAAUGUGCGCAAUAAAUGGAUUAUUGCUCUCUUCUAUUGAAUUAAUGAUAUCAUUAAUUAAAUUGAUGCGUGCAAUAAUUAUGUUAGUGAAAGUAAUUCUAAUUGAGAUAUAAUCCUUAAUUAAUUCGACAUAUCCACAACUGAAUGAAUGAUUUCUUUAAUUGAAUUGUUGCUCUCUUUUUAAAAACAAAACAACGAUGUGCGCAUUAAUUACUUAUGAAAUAGCCCUGUAUAUAUAAUUAAAAAGAUCUAUUGAAUUAAAAGAGAUAAUCAAGUCAUUCAUACAGAGCUCUAAAUUAAUUUUUGCAAGCAAUAUUUCCACCACAUGGAUAUUAUUGGACUUCAAUUAUUUGAGCUUAUGUAAAACAUUAAGAUUUUAAAAAUCAUCCUGGUGAAUUUGUAUUACAAAAGUCAUGAGAGGACACGUCCAGUUUUUGAACAAAAACAGAAAGUAAUAUAUUCCCUUGAAUUUGGUCAUCCCUGUCCUCAGUGUGUUUCAGACGUGUUUAGUGGGAGGGGGGGGGGGGGGUCCAACACGUUUAGCGGAUAUUUAGUUGUUGGCAUGUGGCGGGAGCGAAACCAGGAAUUAUCCAAGGGAAGGACGUAAUGAGUGCCUAAAGCACGAAAUCUCUAAACAAAAAUAUCUAAGAUGAAGGAAAAUCGUGAUUUUUGGGGGUUUUCUAUUACAAUUUUGUCCUCAUAUUUCAAAGUGAGAUGAUAGUCAAAAUUGACAUAAUUUCCAUGUACAUAUCAUAAACAUGUAGAUAUUUUUGUAACAGUAUAUGAAGGAAUCUGGAGCAAAUCCUGAUUCUGAAGUUAUAUAAACUGGUGUUAUACACCGGAUUUUCAAACAAUUUAUGGUUUUUGCAACGUUUGAUUAAAGUUUUCUGUAAGGCCACAUCUAUGUAGUUACAUUUACACAGAAUGCUCAUGAAAAUGUUACCUUUUGGAGUGGAUCGAAUUAAGAUAUCGCGUAACAUUUUUUUUUUACAAAGAUAUCUAAUUUUUAUCUAUAUCAAAAGUCAACAAAAAACUUAAAAGUAAUACAAAAAAUGUAUAUAAUUAUUAAUACUUGUUUUAGAUCUUUUAGGCACUGCAUUAUACAGAAUUUUGAUUUUAUUUAUCAUACUUUUUGGUUGAAUUACUACCGA